AAAAACGAACCGGCAUGAUGAUUGAUUUGUGAAUUGUCAAAACAAACCACAAAUCAAAUCCUCAUGGCGGUCGUCUUUACCAAAGGUACUCAAGAAUAUUUUGCUGAAAUUAACAGUUCUCGUAACAUCACAAAUAGUCAUCCCGAGCGGAAAUCUGGCUCCAAAACGAGACAGAAAGUUUACAUCCCACCCAGGAACAACAAAAACAAUAUUCCACAUAUGAAUGGGAAUGCACCAUUCCACCCCCAUUUCCACCAGCUGCAGACAGCUGAAGCAGAU